UACGUAGGGGGGCUAGCGUUGUCCGGAAUCAUUGGGCGUAAAGAGCGUGUAGGCGGCCCGGUAAGUCCGCUGUGAAAGUCGGGGGGCUCAACCCUCGAAUGCCGGUGGAUACUGUCGGGCUAGAGUGCGGAAGAGGCGAGUGGAAUUCCUGGGUGUAGCGGUGAAAUGCGCAGAUAUCAGGAGGAACACCAAUUGCGAAGGCAGCUCGCUGGGGACGUAACUGACGCUGAGGCACGAAGGUCAGGGGAGCAAACGGG
rnacentral:rRNA from 1 species